CAGGAGUAAUUCAUCAGUGAAUGUUUCACUCAGUGGUCCCAUCUAAUGGAAGCUGAAACAAGCUGGUGAGCAUGUGUGUGAACCUUAAAAAAAAAUCCUAGGAAGGCAACAAAGGCUGAAAUGUGAGCACACAUCAAUGAAGAAGAGAAGUUCAAUUAUACCACCAAAGAGAAAAAUCAAACAAGAUCAAUGAGAAGUAGACAAUG